rfam:Lutzomyia longipalpis Contig21576, whole genome shotgun sequence.
UUGCAGAAACCCGUAGAUCCGAACUUGCGCUCUUGGUUAAAUCUGCCCAAGAACGGAUAUACGGGAAUCUGUCGA